UUGAAACACCGAUUCUCGUACAAUCAGCGAAGUUAAGAAGCGUCGAGCUUGUUCGGUACAUAGAUGGGUGACCAUUUGGGAAUACCAGGUACU